CCCGCCGCCCAGCGGUGUGUCUGUUCUCAUCAGUUUAAGGUCUGAUAUGUCCUUGAUGUGAGGACUGUAUAUUAGCUUGAUUUUUGAAACGGGGGGGGGGGGGGACUAGAACAGAAGCUUGUUGUGUCUGCCCCAGGCAUCCACCUGGUAUUGCAGUGCUUGCAGGAACGGGGGGGCCCUCC
ensembl:snRNA U2 U2 spliceosomal RNA